CGGCAGUCGGCUCCGGCCUGCCUGGGGGGAGCGGUUUGGUGUUGCCAACGCCUUUUUAACACUUCAAUGGGCCUUAGAGCUAACGGAAGCCAGCUGGAGGGACGGGAAACAUCAGCCCCAGGCAAACCAGCUGCAGCUUCCCCAUUUGAGAAGAACCAGCUGGAUUUCCAGGGAAGUGAACUGCCCUGACAUCCAUCCAGGUGACCCUUCCACGGAACAAAAGGAACCUUGGAAGCCAAGGAUGAUCACUCUCAACAAGAAAAACAGGAUCUAUAUUCCUUCACAGAGAAGCCAGAGUGCAUGAAACUCCAUCAAUAACCCAUCACCAAACAAAACUUAAGGAAAAUAAUCUUGCUGUGCUUAGAGCAGCCAGAUGAUUUCAGAAGGCAUUUCCUGCCCUAAAAUCUCCAAAUUUAGGGUUUUUUUGCCAAGACUACUCAGUCUGACCUCCCUAAACCCAGUUUGUAAGACGCAGCAUCUCAAGUGGCUUCUCUCCUGCAGUCCUCAGAUCCUUCAGUCUUUCUGUUUCCUCAGAGGUGCCCAUCAGCAUUAAUUAAGAAAAACGAGCCCAUUGAUUACACUGGGCUAAUUAUUUAUCCAUUUUACAAGGCUCCACACAUCUCAUGCACAUGUUUUUCUUGGGGCAAAGUCUGGAAGGACAUAAUUGAUAAAUUUGAAAAUGCAUGCUCUAAACAUCAUCACUUUGGUCACAAAAUUCAAGCAGAGUCUUCUGUGACCACUCAAUGUUUGGUGGUUUUUUAUAGCUAUGAACAGAAAAGGCUUUCUAGCUGCAGAAGCAGAGCAACAGCAGAUGUAGGCAGCCCAGGGUAUUUUAAACAAUUUGAGAUCCAAAUGAACACUAAGGCCAAGAGGAUGUUUUUCUUAGCGGAAGAAAUAGAAGCAUCCUGGAUUUUGUUUUCCUGCUAGUAGGUAUAAAGAAUAAACAGCUGCUUUUUGUUUCCCCCCAAAAUAUUUGCAUUAAGAAGAUUCCUUUUGCAAUGGCCGCAGCUUCUUUGCAAAUGAGGACCAGCUGCUUGCUUUGCUUGUUUAUAGCAGGACAUGCUUAAGGGAAUAUUUUUUGUUGGUUGUUUAUGAAGAUGCAGGAGCAGACUGUCCCUGGUAGGCUCCAGUUUGCAGCAUGGAGUGGAAGACUCCAUGUGUCUUACUACAGUUGUAGCUGUGAGUUGUGAAGGGGUAAAUGCCUAAUCCAGCUAAUUCAGGGACACUGGAUAAACUUAACAUCUGGAGCCCCCAGCAUCAGGACACAGAGCUCCUGGAAGGUAU